rnacentral:ncRNA from 1 species
GUGUCGGAACGUUAAAAUCGCUCGUUAACGCGAGUGAUCCAAGCGCCGAUGAACGCCGGCCGUAACUAUGAACCAAACUGUAGUUAUAAAAUUUGGCUAAAUGCUGGAAUAUCUGAGUAUCUCGAGAUACUAAUCUGUCAUUCCGGACUUGCUCCGGAAUCCAGGUAGUGAAAAUUCUUGAGUGCAGACAAUCAGCAGGAAAGAUCCCGCUUCGGCGGGAAAUCCUCAGAGACUACACGCCAAACCCUGAACCCAGCGUGGUUUACGGGAUGAUAUAGUCCGAUCCUUAUGGCGACAUAAGG